CGAACGUCGACCUUUCGACGUCAAGCAUUUCUGACAGCCGGAAACUCACGUACAGCGAAGACGGUGGGGGAAUUUUGGCGGCAAAUGUCCGGUUCGUAGCUAGCGACUGUAAUAAGGACGGUCAGCGGGAGGUUUGUGUUGGCGGACAACUAUGUUGUGUUUAAAACACAACAUUUUCAUUUCGGCAGGCUGCGAACGAUUUUUGGACACCAUAAAAGAUAGACCAGGGAGAGACGCUGCAAGAAACAGGAUUGGGAAAACAACGGGUUUUUUUUCAUUAAGACAUGGGCUACGAAUGAUUUUUGGAUGUCGUAAUAGAGAGACCAGGGAGAGAUGCUGUAAGAAAUAGGAUUGGGAAAACAACGGUUUUUUUCACUGCAUGAAAGGAGGUUGGAUUUGGUGAGGGUGAAGGAAGAAUUCAAAAGAGAAAAACCAGUAAGGGUUUUGUGCAUUUGAAAUUGGAGGAAAUGAGGGUUUUUGUCACCACGGGAAAUGAGGUUGGAUUCGGCGAGGGUUAGUGAAUAAUUUGACACAAAAAAACUAGUUGACAUUGGACAUUUUUGUUUUCCACGAGGAGCGGAUACAUGGAUUUUCAUUCAUUUGCAUGUUCACACAGGUUGUUGGACCUCUUUGUGAAUGACUUUCUGUCAUUGCAGGUCACCAUCAAAAAUUGAGGCAUGGGAAAACAUCGACUGUAGUUUGACAUCGCUUUUUUUUAGUGGUAUGUCACGAGAAGGGAUCUACAACAAUACAUCAUGGAGAUUAGAUUAUUAUUUUUUGUUAUGGCAGGGACUGGUCAGAGUUGUUCUUGCAUGCACAAUGACAUACACAAACACGACAGGAUGGGUGACAGAGUUGCUGACAGAUGACUGGAUAGAGACCGUCUCUUCUGAAUUUUCAAGCUCAAUCUUGGUCUUCAACUACAAUGACUUGUUUCAUAUAGGUUGCAGACUCCGAAGACUUAAUAGAUUUUUGAGGAUCCAAGCUAGAUUUGCUUGAAUUUGAUUGUUUUCUAUCAUUUUUUUUUGGUUCGUGCUAUUUUAUAAGAUGCUAUUAUGGAUGAAAUGCAAUUUUGUGACUCAUGUCACUAUACUCUGAUACAUGUUAAGUGAACUACUCAAGACCCUAUCCAUAAAUAUCAUUUGAUUAUUUCAAUAUGCAUCUUUAAAGAUAAUACAAAACUCCAGAUACUCUUCUCUCUUAUA